ACCAGAGCUGCCCCUUGUUGGUUCCCAAUUUGCCUCAGGAACUUCCCAGCUUCACGCCGCACCUCCGGGUGCCCGCGGCCAACCUCAGCCCGGCGGCAGACGGUCCUCCAUCCUCGGUAUGAAGUCUGGUCAGAGGGUCAGUAGCGCCUAACACUGCAUGGCACUGCCCAUGUCACUCACCUGGCUUCACCUUGUCACAUAGGCACUUCAUCAUCUCACAUCAUCGCCAGAAGGAGAGAGAGAGCAAUGGUGAGGCCUGUGAUCAUGAC